UACGUAGGGGGCAAGCGUUGUCCGGAUUUAUUGGGCGUAAAGAGCGUGUAGGCGGCCAGGUAGGUCAGCUGUGAAAACUCGAGGCUCAACCUCGAGACGCCGGUUGAAACCAUCUGGCUAGAGUCCGGAAGAGGAGAGUGGAAGUUCCUGGUGUAGCGGUGAAAUGACGCAGAUAUCAGGAAGAACACCCGUGGCUAAGGCGGCUCUCUAGUACGGUACUGACGCUGAGACGCGAAAGCGUGGGGGAGCGAACAGGAUAGA
rnacentral:rRNA from 1 species